rnacentral:rRNA from 1 species
GGCUUACCAUGCAGUCGAGGGGCAGCGAGAUGUAGCAUCCUUCGUCGGCGACCGGCGAUGGGUGAGUACACGUAUGCAACUUACCUCUUAGUGGUGAAUAACUCGAUGAAGUCGGACUAAUACACCAUACUCUCCUUAGAUCACAUGAGAAGAGGAGGAAAGAUUAAUCGCUAAGAGAUAGGCCUGCGUUCCAUUAGCUAGUUGGUAAGGUAACGGCUUACCAAGGCAACGAUGGAUAGGGGGACUGAGAGGUUGACCCCCCACAUUGACACUGAGAUACGGGUCAAACUCCUACGGGAGGCAGCAGUGAGGAAUAUUGGUCAAUGGGCGAGAGCCUGAACCAGCCAAGUCGCGUGAAGGAAGACUGCCCGCAAGGGUUGUAAACUUCUUUUGUAUGGGAUUAAAGUCGUCUACGUGUAGACGUUUGCAGUUACCAUACGAAUAAGCAUCGGCUAACUCCGUGCAGC